rnacentral:rRNA from 1 species
GUGAGGAAUAUUGGUCAAUGGGCGGGAGCCUGAACCAGCCAAGUCGCGUGAAGGAAGAAGGAUCUAUGGUUCGUAAACUUCUUUUGCAGGGGAAUAAAGUGCAGGACGUGUCCUGUUUUGUAUGUACCCUGAGAAUAAGGAUCGGCUAACUCCGUGCCAGCAGCCGCGGUAAUACGGAGGAUCCGAGCGUUAUCCGGAUUUAUUGGGUUUAAAGGGUGCGUAGGUGGUUUGAUAAGUCAGUGGUGAAAGUUUGCAGCUUAACUGUAAAAAUGCAGUUGAAACUGUCGGACUUGAGUGUAAAUGAGGUAGGCGGAAUGCGUGGUGUAGCGGUGAAAUGCAUAGAUAUCACGCAGAACUCCGAUUGCGAAGGCAGCUUACUAAGCUACAACUGACACUGAAGCACGAAAGCGUGGGGAUCAAACAGGAUUAGAAACCCCAGUAGUCC